CCUACGGGGCGCAGCAGUGAGGAAUAUUGGUCAAUGGACGCAAGUCUGAACCAGCCAUGCCGCGUGCAGGAAGACGGCCCUAUGAAUUGUAAACUGCUUUUGUACGAGGGUAAACGCAGAUACGCGUAUCUGUCUGAAAGUAUCCUACGAAUAAGGACCGGCUAACUCCGUGCCAGCAGCCGCGGUAAUACGGAGGAUUCAAGCGUUAACCGGAUUUAUUGGGUUUAAAGGGUGCGUAGGCGGUCGGAUAAGUUAGAGGUGAAAGCCCGAGGCUCAACUUCGGAAUUGCCUCUGAUACUGUUAGGCUAGAGAGUAGUUGAGGUAGGCGGAAUGUAUGGUGUAGCGGUGAAAUGCUUAGAGAUCAUACAGAACACCGAUUGCGAAGGCAGCAUACCAAGCUACAUCUGACGUUGAGGCACGAAAGCGUGGGGAGCAAACAGGAUUAGAUACCCGUGUAGUC
rnacentral:rRNA from 1 species